UUAAAGUGUUCAUGUCCUAUUAUUAUGGUUAUUUAUAAAUUGGUCAUAUGAGCACAACAAAUUAGACGAUCUAUGACUCUUUGAAGGAGCAAGAACCAUCAGAAGGAAGAUCAUCAAUCAAGCGCAUCUAUCAAUACCAUAGCAACUCACUAGACUCAGGAAUCUGUUUUGAGAGGUGGGAUCAGUAAUAACUUUUUUCUCGGAGGCUUACUGCAUUCCAGAUUCAUCAGAUGUACAUAUAUCCUUCACGUGUGUUACCUUGCACAGCAGGUCAGCAGCAUAUAGUUGGAUGUUUACAUCAGCUAGGAACACGGCAGAGAUGAAAAAGAGCUUUAGUUUUGAAACUUUAUGACUGGGGAUCUGUAACUUGCAGCUGUACUUCUACUUAUGAUUUACAUUUUAGAAUACACUUUAGAAGAGGUGCUCCUGAGAUUGAUGUGCUUA